GGUAAUGGGUAAUGUGCUCUGUGCAGCUGUCAGCAAGGUAGAGACUAAGUCAAUGCACACGCAGCAUUAAUUCACGCAAGCACGCGCGCACACACACACACGUGUCCCCAUUCACAAACACAUAAACUGUUUACGUGGUUGUUGUUGUUUGUCCAUGGCGCGUGCUGAGCUGACACGCAGUGACCUUGACUGAAUGGCGUGGAGCAGACGACAGUGGGUGACAGGGAAUGAAGACUGACACGGACGUUCAUCAAAUGUCAUCAUGUGACUGAUUUCUUUAUGACCUUAUAUGGACUGGUAGCGGGACCUGACACACUGGUGACCGCUGACAUGUAAGCAGACGACACGUCAACACCGACAGUUCUGUCAGCUGCAAGGAACAUGGGGGGUGUCGCGAGUGGGAGUCGAUCGCUGGGUGCAGGUUCAGUGUUGAGUCUGUCACCGGCUGCCUCACCCACCUGAAGAAUGUGUGACUGUCGUUGUUUGUUUGUUGUCAAGUCAGACGCUCUCCCCCACCCUGACCGCGCGGCAUCUGCAAUGUUAGUCCAUCUCCGAGCUGUUGGAUCGAACUCUGCCGGCCGGCUGUCUGGCAGGCUCCCUGUCUCCCUGCCUCCCUGCUCUACCCUGUGUCUGUAUGUUGCCCCACUGGUGUGCGAUGGGGUCAGAGGUCAGUCAGUAAGAAGGGACAAAGGUCCAAGAGUGAACCAAGACCCACACAAGUCUGUGUCAACAAGCAAAGUAAGCUAAAAAACAGUCGUUAGCUACACUAGUACACGUGUACAAACUGCAUGGUGACCUCGCACACAGUCGUUAGCUACACUAGUACACGUCCACAGUCAACUCUCCUCAGCCCGCACACGCACACACAGACGCACUGCAGUCUGGCCCGAGAGCCAAGUACGCAUGCCGAACGUUCUUGUGACAGGUUUCACAGAUACCUGAGACGUGUUGCAUAGGCGUAGCGAAUCGAGCGAAGCUAGCGAAUCUAGCCGGAAGUGUAAAGAGCGCGCCCCUACAAGCUAGCGAACCUAGACCCCUAGCGUAGCAAAGCUAGCGGCCGCUGGAGGUCCUACACUUGCUAUUCAAAAUGGCGGACAUUGUUGUCGGUUUCAAGUUUGCAGAUGAGAGUUUCUUUGAUGCUCCCGUUAAAAAGGAGUAUUGGACCGGAAACAAAGUGAAACGAAUGUGGGAAAUCAAUGGACCAAGGGGGCAUACUUUUCCUCAUGGACACUUAUGCCAAACAUAAGGAACAAUUUGCAAUUCCAACUUGAAAAUAGAGGUAUGGAAGAGGAUUUCUUCGGAAAUGGCAGCCUCAGGAUGCCACUUUGCUCCAGCAGCACUUGAGAAAAAAAUGGAGCAAUAUGAAAAUAUGGUACAAAGCUAUAUUAGAUUUCAACAAGAAAACGGGCCAGGGAAGAUCACGAUGGAAUUUCUAUUCCAGAAUGGCUGAAAUCUUGGAAGGAGACCCUUCAUUCAUCUCACCACUGACAUCAUCACUGGGGAGUGUAAAAGGUGAGUGAACCAUUUAUAAUAUAAAUAAGCAAGUAAAGCAUAAUUUUAGUAUAGCCAUAUUUAGUAAAACAUUUGACAGUUCAAGUAUUAAUUGUUUAAUGCUUCUUUUCCUACAGGUAUUUGGGGAGGGUAGUGACAAAAGUCUGUUCUGCCACAAAGAGAUGAGUCUAGAUAUGUAAAAAGCUCAGUUAGGAACUUUUUGUAUUCAUGCACUGUUCCAGCAAGAGCAGUUAUCAUGGGCAUACAGGCUAGACAUAUUUGGGUUUUCCAUGCCCAUAUAUUGGUCAUAAUUCAUUAAUAUUUAUUUUUCAGUAAACACUCUCUCCGAGAUCUCCAAUACCCAGCAAUGUG